GACAGUGAUGUCAGUUAUAAUUUUUUGGGGUUCGGUAGUAAACCAAUUGAUGGUUUUCUGCACAGUCCAUAUGAAAUAAUGCAGGUGGAUCAUAAUUUGGGUUAUACCAGUGAACCUCUACAGGUGGAUGUUGAGUGCGUGGAAAUUAUAACUGAGGAUGGUUUUGAAAAGGAUGCCACAAUUGAACAGCGUAAAUGCCGUUUCCAGCAUGAAUCUAAUUUGACCCAUUUUCCAGUGUAUUCGAAAAAUAUUUGCAUUCAGGAAUGUCGUCUGAAUUUGGUCUAUAGUAUUUGUAAAUGUAUACCGCAUUUUUAUCCGAAUCGAAG